rnacentral:rRNA from 1 species
AUUGAACGCUGGCGGCAGGCCUAACACAUGCAAGUCGAACGAGUGGCGGACGGGUGAGUAAUGUCUGGGAAACUGCCUGAUGGAGGGGGAUAACUACUGGAAACGGUAGCUAAUACCGCAUACCAUCGGAUGUGCCCAGAUGGGCUUAGCUAGUAGGUGGGGUAAAGGCUCACCUAGGCGACGAUCUCUAGCUGGUCUGAGAGGAUGACCAUCAACCCGGGAACUGAGACACGGUCCAGACUCCUACGGGAGGCAGCAGUGGGGAAUAUUGCACAAUGGGCCCAAGCCUGAUGCAGCCAUGCAGCGUGUAUGAAGAAGGCCUUAGGGUUGAAAAGUAUUUUCAGCGGGGAGGCGUUACCCGCAGAAGAAGCACCGGCUAACUCCGUGCCAGCAGCCGCGGUAAUUC